rnacentral:rRNA from 1 species
UACGUAGGGGGCAAGCGUUGUCCGGAAUCAUUGGGCGUAAAGAGCGUGUAGGCGGCUCGGUAAGUCCGCUCUGAAAGCCCGGGGCUCAACCCUGGAAUGCCGGUGGAAACUGUCAGGCUCGAGUCCGGAAGAGGCGAGUGGAAUUCCUGGUGUAGCGGUGAAAUGCGCAGAUAUCAGGAGGAACACCAAUGGCGAAGGCAGCUCGCUGGGACGGUACUGACGCUGAGACGCGAAAGCGUGGGGAGCAAACAGG